rnacentral:rRNA from 1 species
GAGUUUGAUCGUGGCUCAGAACGAACGCUGGCGGCAUGCCUAACACAUGCAAGUCGAACGGGAUCCAGGCUUCGGCCUGGUGAGAGUGGCGGACGGGUGAGUAACGCGUGGGAACCUGCCCAAUGGUCUGGGAUAACCGCGGGAAACUGCGGCUAAUACCGGAUAAGCCCGAGAGGGGAAAGAUUUAUCGCCGAUGGAGGGGCCCGCGUCCGAUUAGGUAGUUGGUGGGUAAUGGCCUACCAAGCCUACGAUCGGUAGCUGGUCUGAGAGGAUGAUCAGCCACACUGGGACUGAGAUACGGCCCAGACUCCUACGGGAGGCAGCAGUGGGGAAUAUUGGACAAUGGGGGCAACCCUGAUCCAGCAAUGCCGCGUGAGUGAUGAAGGCCUUAGGGUUGUAAAGCUCUUUUGGCGGGACGAUGAUGACGGUACCCGCAGAAUAAGCCCCGGCUAACUUCGUGCCAGCAGCCGCGGU